AAACUGAAAAGGACGCACACUCACACAGCAACCACGUGGUGGCUUGGAAGACGGUCAGGGCAAAGGCCUUGAGCUGUGCACAGCCUGAGAAGGAACGGAAUUAUGAAAUGCUUAAAGGCUUAUUUGUGCUACAUAGAAUUUUGUUAGCUCUGUCAUUUAGAAGUUUUACUACUGUUUACAGAAAAUAAUCUAGAUAGAAACGAAACAGUGUAUUAAGUUUUUUAUCCGGCGGAUUUGGAGCGCUACGCUACAAUGAACUGAUUAGCAGCUACUUCUUGUGAUGGUGUAAAAUAAGAUUAUAAACACAUGGUUUAAAUAAUGAUUAUACAUUUUUAACACAUAUAAAUGGUUAGUGAAAAGUACAAUUAGUUUAUUUAGAUCUGGCAAGUGAAAAAGUUUUGUCUAACAGAAACAGCUUUCUGCAUCAGAAUUAAACGUAAAUCGGAGUACAUAACACAGUCCGACAAAACAUGACUCUCGGUUUCUACUGCAUUACAAAAUGGAAGAACCAGUCUGUCUUAAGAGAACUGAGCCUAACACAUGAAGUGACAGAUGAGUAGAGUGAUAUUACGCCUUUAAAAUUUUACCAGAAAUGCCCGAAUCGCCAAGCCUUUUUCCAAAGCCUUUCGGAAAUCGAUAAAUGCUGCGUGUUAUCACGGAUAGACUACCAAACGUGUUACGUGAUUUUUCCCUCCGCCUCUCACGUGUGCUGGAUGAUAUAGGAGUGAAUGAGAGGACAGUUAUGAUGAGGAGAAGGACGGGACUUAUCGAAGAAAGUAUAUAUACACUGGGAGAUUAUGUCAUCAGAAAUGGCGUUUAUACAGUCUUUAAUUUUGGUAGUCAAACAGAGGGAACUGUUACAUUAGGACUUAAUUCUGAUACGGAUACAUUAACAUGCCUAAAUAAAUACAAUGUAAUACAAGACUGGUGUCAAUGUGAGCAAGGUAAUAAAAAUAUUGAUUUUUCGGGACAAUGUAGCACCAGGUUAUUGUAGACCAGUUGUUACGGUCAGAUAUUCAUGUAGCAAGGGAAGAUUUAUCGAGUGAUGACUAUGAAUAUGAUGGUGAAGGACGAGUGCUGAUGAAAAAUGCAGGGUUUAAUUCUCGUCUACGACAUGGUCCUUGAUACAAACACUGAUUAUGUGACUGGCCUCCCUUGUAGGAGCUGGCCAACAGAAGCUUUAUCAUGGGUAACAAGAACUACAGCAGAGCAAUAGCCAGGUAGGACUCUCCAGUCUUUUGCAGAAAACAGUGGAUGUUUUGUCGUGCCUAUUGGACACUGCUUGAUGAAACCGAAAGACUAGAGUGGCGAAUAUCUACAUCUUUAACAGAACGUUGUUUGAUGUUCAACAUGAAUAUUACGCAGAUCAGAUGUUACGUUGUUCUGAAAAUGAUAAUGAAAACAUUUCUAAAUGAAACUGUCACUAGCUACCAAUGUAAAACUGUUUUAAUGUACAAAACCAGAAAUAUGGAGGGAGGAAAAUCUAUUUUCUUGUAUCAUAAUGUGUUUCCGGCUUCUGCAAUUAUGUGUAUUAAAAAAAUAAUUGUCCGCAUUAUUUUAUGCCAGAAAAUAAUUUACUGACUGGGCGAUUGGAUCUCAAAACGAGACACUAUAUAGCACUUGUGAUAGGAAAUAUAAUUGACAGCUAUUGUAUAGCGAUUUUAGGCAUAAAGUUGGAUAAUAUGGGUAAAGUGUGUAUGACAUAUACGAUGACCGAAAAGGGUGACACAGCGGCCGACUAUGACAACAGAAAACGAGUCUUGACAAAUUAUUUCUGCCCUAAAGUUUACACACAAAUGGAAAUCUAUAAAUUCCGCUCAUACAAACAGACAGGAACUGAAUCACUCGAUGAUUUUGUGACCGAAUUGAGAACCCUGUGAAAGAACUGCGGGUUUGCAGACAACAAAUUCGGGAAUCUUGCAGCAGGUAAUACAAAACUGCAAGUCUAACAGAUUAAGGCGUAGGGCUUUAAGAGAACCAGACCAGACAUUAUAUGACAUACUUACUUAGCUGGAGCUUUCUGAUGACCAGGCAAAUACAUUUGUAUAAUUGAAAAAGAUCAAGUCUAAGAAGUACACAGACUUAAUAACUCAGACAGAACAUGAGGCGCGUUUCGUGGAUGAAACUAGAGGCAGAGGCCAGUACUCACAAAGCCCAGUUGAACUGACAGAUAGAACAGUGAAAUGUAGAAAUUGUGGCGGUAACUUUCCACACAAAACCCAAUGCCCAGCUAAAGGACAGACCUGCCACUUUUGUCGGAUAACAAACCAUUUUAUGAAUAUGUGUCGUAAACGGAAAGAAAAUAUUCUCGCAAUAAAACAAUCUCAAGCAUCAGAAGGCGUUUAUACAGAAGAUCAGCCCCAAGAUUUAAAAUCCAAAUAUGACAGCUAGGGUGAAAAAUACGCAAAUCAAGUAAGAAGAAAAGAUGAAAGAUCCCCAAAGUGCAACAUUAAGCUUAACGAUACGGACAUGAAAGUGUUAAUAGACACUGGUGCAACAGUUAACGUACUUGAUGAAAGUGCUUAUAGAAAGUUAGGAAGUCCAAGGCUGUCAACAAACAACAUGCCAAAACUUCACCCUUAUGGUGGAUGUAUGCCAUUACAGUUGUUCGUGGGGCAUGUCAAAUAACUGCGGAGAAAAACAAUAUAAUAACAUUAGCAAAAUUCUAUAUUGUUAAAGGAGAUCAUGGAACGUUAAUCUGAUAUGAAACUUCCCUUGAGCUGAAAGCUAUCGAGAUUAUUCACAGACUGGACAAAAAUGAAGACAACUUGGGUGAAAAAUAUUCCGGAAUCAAGAAAAACAGAGCAGUUAACUUACACAUUAACAAGGAAGUAAAGUAAGUAGCGCAAAGAAAUCGCAGGACCCCUUUUCAUUUCAGAAGUAAGGUAGAAAAAGAACUUGACAAGCUAAUGGAUCAAGACAUCUUUGAAAAGGUCAUUAAUGAACCAACGUCCUGGAUAUCACCAAUUGUGACCCCAUCCAAGAAGAACCGAGAUAAAAUACGGUUGUGUGUUGAUAUGAGAGAGGCGAAUAAAGCAAAUGAAAGAGAAAGACACCUUAUGCCAACAAUUGAUAAAAUUCUGAAUGAUUUAAAUGGAUCGAAAAUCUUCAGUAGGCUCGAUCUCCGGUCUGGAUAUCACCAGCUUGUCUUACAUCCGGAAUCCAGAUAUAUAACGACUUUUAAUACGCAUAAAGGAAUAUAAAGGCAUAUCGUCGGCAAGUGAACUAUUUAACGAAACAAUAAAACAGGUCAUUCAAGGCAUUGCUGGUGCAAAAGAAUUAUUUCUGACGACAUUAAUGUAUGUAGUAAAACACAAAAGGAGCAUGACAAAGCGCUUGAUGGAGUAUUU